rnacentral:rRNA from 1 species
GAUGAACGCUGGCGGCGUGCCUAAUACAUGCAAGUCGAGCGAACAGAUGAGGAGCUUGCUCCUCUGACGUUAGCGGCGGACGGGUGAGUAACACGUGGAUAACCUACCUAUAAGACUGGGAUAACUUCGGGAAACCGGAGCUAAUACCGGAUAAUAUAUUGAACCGCAUGGUUCAAUAGUGAAAGACGGUUUUGCUGUCACUUAUAGAUGGAUCCGCGCCGCAUUAGCUAGUUGGUAAGGUAACGGCUUACCAAGGCAACGAUGCGUAGCCGACCUGAGAGGGUGAUAGGCCACACUGGAACUGAGACACGGUCCAGACUCCUACGGGAGGCAGCAGUAGGGAAUCGGCCGCAAUGGGCGAAAGCCUGACGGAGCAACGCCGCGUGAGUGAUGAAGGUGUUCGGAUCGGAAAACUCUGUUAUGAGGGAAGAACAAAUGUGUAAGUAACUAUGCACGUCGUGACGGUACCUAAUCAGAAAGCCACGGCUAACUACGUG